AAUAAUUUAUUAACGGCCGCGGUAUUCUGACCGUGCGAAGGUAGCAUAAUCAUUUGUCUUAUAAUUGAAGACUGGAAUGAAGGAGUUUACAAAGAAAAAACUGUCUCUUUUAAGUUUAUAAAAUUUAUUGUUAAAGUGAAGAAACUUUUUUAAGGAAAUUAGACGAGAAGACCCUAUUGAGCUUAAACUAUAUUUUUUAUAUAUUUUAGUUAACUUUAUUUAUAUAUAAACUUAUUUAGUUGGAUUGGGGCGAUUAAGGAAAUUUUUAUUUACUUCCUUUUUUUUUUUUACUGUUAAGUUAUUUUUGAUCCAUUUUUAAUGAUUAAAAAAAUAAGUUACCAUAGGGAUAACAGCGUAAUCUUUUUUUAGAGUUCUUAUCAAAAAAAGGGUUUGCGACCUCGAUGUUGGACUAAGGUAUCCUAAAGGUG
rnacentral:rRNA from 1 species